rnacentral:lncRNA from 1 species
UUAGUGAUUAAUUCAGACAGAUAUUUAACUUAAUAAGGGGCUCCCGGAGGAACGCGCGCACAACCUUGGGGGAAUCCUCUGAGCAAGGGGCUGGGGGCUGGCUAUAAAAGCCAGAAAAGCGAUGCAGAGGGAAAGGCCGAUGGCAGGGCCAACCCCGGGGCUGUCGGCAGUGACACUGGAGGGGACGUUGCCUUGUGUUGUGCUGGGUCCCCCUCUCCCCGUGGGCCCCGCAUGGAGUGAGGAUGCUGGAUGGAGGAUGCUGGUGUCCUCCCGGCCCUACCAGUGCCGAUCGUUGCCUUUCCCAUGCCUUGACACCCUCUGGAUCCCCACACAAAGCGCCACGAGUGACCUUACCGGGGAACCUCUCCACGUGGCCCCAAGUCAAAGCUCACCUCCGCUCCACACACCGGAGCCAUUAAACCACAUUUGAGCCCAGGCAAAGUUACAAGUUGUUGCUGACCACAGUUUGUCUCGGCUCAGUGCGAUAUUUACUACGCAGCAUCCCGAAAUAGCCGGCAGCUGUGGGAGGGCUGGUCGCCGCUUCUCCUUCCCGAGGAAGGAGCUUGAACCCGAUGUCGGUGCCGGUGGUUUUUGCAGCAGUUGGGGAUUUUUAAACUCCUUUUCCUUUAAUUCUUUUCUUUCUUUAAUGGGUGACUGGAUAAAUUCAGCGGUGGAUUUUUGUGACACUAAAGCAGCAGAUAAGUCUAUGAUGCACUCUAGCUAUGUGGUUUAAAAAUCCCUUACCAUAUGUUUUCUCACUGGAAUGCCUCGUCUUGCAAAAUUACAGGAACCGAAGCUUAAAAACACAAUUAGGUAGUUUAAAAUGAAAUAUUAAAGAAAUACCACAUAUUUUCUGAUACGCCCGCGACACCGCUCCUCGCUUUUCUCCCCCCCCCCACCCUUUUCUUUUUGCUUUCUUUUGUAUUGUUCUUUGAGUUGCUCAAGAAGCCCAACUGCAUUCAAUUGUUGUACUAAUCAUGCUCCACAUUUUUCUGAUUAGGUUAUAUAGGCUGUGGUUAAAUUAUAAAUGAAAGAACGAACUACCCG